GAGUGCGCCAUUGUGUGUGUGUGUGUGUGUUUUGACUGAGAGUGAUCUCAUUUGAGCGCUCCUCUAUAUAAACACACAGGAUUGUAAACAGUGGCUUUGUGUGGGGGCAGAGGCAAGAACUCUCCGCUCCCUUCGGGGAGGUGAAAGGAGACUUACCACACAUCGA